GUGUCAGCAGCCGCGGUAAUACGUAGGGGGCAAGCGUUGUCCGGAAUUACUGGGCGUAAAGCGCGCGUAGGCGGGACAGAAAGUCCGGCGUGAAAGCCUCCGGCUCAACCGGAGAGAGCCGUCGGAUACUUUUGUUCUUGAGGGUCGAAGAGGAGAGUGGAAUUCCCGGUGUAGCGGUGAAAUGCGUAGAGAUCGGGAGGAACACCCAUGGCGAAGGCAGCUCUCUGGUCGGCUACUGACGCUGAGGUGCGAAAGCGUGGGGAGCGAACGGGAUUAGAAACCCCCGUAGUCC
rnacentral:rRNA from 1 species